CACAAUCACUAGCCCAUUCAAGCUUAACAUCCUUACCAUUUAUCGCCCUCCAGGUUCCCUUGGAGAGUUCAUCAAUGAGCUUGACGCCUUGAUAAGUUCCUUUCCUGAGGAUGGCUCACCCCUCACAGUUCUGGACCAUUUCCGGAGACCUUCUCCCUUACCUCACCUCGCUCAUCAACUCAUCCUUGACCGCUGGCUACGUCCCUUCCGUCUUCAAGAGAGCGAGAGUUGCACCCCUUCUCAAAAAACCUACACUCGAUCCCUCCGAUACCUAUCUGCUGCCUUUGAUACUGUGAACCAUCAGAUCCUCCUCUCCACCCUCUCCGAGUUGGGCAUCUCCGGCACGGCUCACUCUUGGAUUGCGUCCUACCUGACAGGUGGCGAAUCGCAUCUCUGCAUGUCUGGCAGACAUAUCAGUGUGGAUGACGGAUCACCACCUCAAGCUGAACCUCGGCAAGACGGAGCUGCUCUUCCUCCCGGGGAAGGACUGCCCUUUCCAUGAUCUCGCCAUCACGGUGGACAACUCCAUUGUGUCCUCCUCCCAGAGUGCUAAGAGCCUUGGCGUGACCCUGGACAACACCCUGUCAUUCUCUGCUAACAUCAAGGCGG
rnacentral:lncRNA from 1 species